UACGGAGGAUGCAAGCGUUAUCCGGAAUUAUUGGGCGUAAAGCGUCCGUAGGUGGCUUUACAAGUCAGCUGUGAAAGCGUGGAGCUUAACUCCAUAAAGGCAGUUGAAACUGUGAGGCUAGAGUGCGGUAGGGGUAAGGGGAAUUCCCAGUGUAGCGGUGAAAUGCGUAGAUAUUGGGAAGAACACCGGUGGCGAAACCGCCUUGCUGGCCCUGCACUGACACUGAGGGACGAAAGCUAGGGGAGCGAAAGGG
rnacentral:rRNA from 1 species